rnacentral:rRNA from 1 species
AACACAUGCAAGGCGAGGGGCAGCACGGGAAGCAACACCGGGGGGCGACCGGCGCACGGGAGAGAAACGCGAAAGAAACCCGCCCCCCGCGGGGGGACAGCCCGACGAAAGGCGGAAAAACACCCCACACCCCCCCCGGACCACCGGGGCGGGGGGGUAAAGUUUUGGCGGCGGGGGAUGGUCAUGCGUGCCAUUAGUUAGUUGGUGAGGUAACGGCUCACCAAGACUGCGAUGUCUAGGGGUUCUGAGAGGAAGGUCCCCCACACUGGAACUGAGACACGGUCCAGACUCCUACGGGAGGCAGCAGUGAGGAAUAUUGGUCAAUGGACGCAAGUCUGAACCAGCCAUGUCGCGUGCAGGAUGACUGCCCUAUGGGUUGUAAACUGCUUUUAUAUUGGAAGAAUUGCGCUUACGAGUUAAGCGUUUGACGGUACAUUAUGAAUAAGGAUCGGCUAACUCCGUGCCAGCAGCCGCGGUAAUACGGAGGAUCCGAGCGUUAUCCGGAUUUAUUGGGUUUAAAGGGUGCGUAGGCGGAAAUGUAAGUCAGUGGUGAAAUCCUGCAGCUUAACUGUAGAAUAGCCGUUGAAACUGUGUUUCUUGAGUACAUUUGAGGUAGGCGGAAUGUGGUGUGUAGCGGUGAAAUGCAUAGAUAUACCACAGAACACCGAUUGCGAAGGCAGCUUACUAAACUGUCACUGACGCUGAUGCACGAAAGCGUGGGUAUCAAAGGGGAUUAGAUACCCUGGUAGUCCACGCUGUAAACGAUGAUUACUGGUUGUUUGCGAUACACUGCAAGUGACUGAGCGAAAGCAUUAAGUAAUCCACCUGGGGAGUACGUCGGCAACGAUGAAACUCAAAGGAAUUGACGGGGGCCCGCACAAGCGGAGGAACAUGUGGUUUAAUUCGAUGAUACGCGAGGAACCUUACCUGGGUUUAAAUGGGGAGUGACAGGCUUGGAAACAGGCCCUUCUUCGGACACUCUUCAAGGUGCUGCAUGGUUGUCGUCAGCUCGUGCCGUGAGGUGUCGGGUUAAGUCCCAUAACGAGCGCAACCCCUAUCGAUAGUUACCAGCACGUUACGGUGGGGACUCUAUCGAGACUGCCGGUGUAAACCGUGAGGAGGGUGGGGAUGACGUCAAAUCAGCACGGCCCUUACAUCCAGGGCUACACACGUGUUACAAUGGCCGGUACAAAGGGCAGCUACACAGCGAUGUGAUGCUAAUCUCCAAAUCCGGUCUCAGUUCGGAUCGAAGUCUGCAACCCGACUUCGUGAAGCUGGAUUCGCUAGUAAUCGCGCAUCAGCCAUGGCGCGGUGAAUACGUUCCCGGGCCUUGUACACAGCGCCCGUCA